ensembl:lncRNA
CGGGGUUGAAGAGAAGCCUGGACUCCCAACUGAACGUGGUUCCAUUUCACUUUUGUUACAACAGAUCGAUAGUUGCAUUUCAAGCUAUUUAAGGAGAAGGAGAAGUAUGAAAGGGGAACGUGAUGACAAUGGGGAGGAAGAGGAAGAGGAGCAGGAGGAAGAGGGCCUGGUCUGUGUAAACGGAUAGCAGCAAAACUGCCAUGUUAAGUGAAAGAGAGAACCACACUGACCUCGCAGCAACAUUUCGCUUCAUAAAUAUAAAAACGAUAGAAAUACAUCAACAGGUAAACAAACAACAAAAGUCCACUUCAGUAGUGAUAAUGAAUGACAGGUAGCCAGUCCACUUCAGUAGUGAUAAUGAAUGACAGGUAGCCAGUCCACUUCAGUAGUGAUAAUGAACGACAAGUAGCCAGUCCACUUCAGUAGUGAUAAUGAAUGACAGGUAGCCAGUCCACUUCAAUAGUGAUAAUGAACGACAGGUAGCCAGUCCACUUCAGUAGUGAUAAUGAACGACAAGUAGCCAGUCCACUUCAAUAGUGAUAAUG